GUAGACCACAUCAUAGCUAUCAAGAAUACUGAAGGCAUUGAACUUGAACUGGGCCACAUUCUUCUGUGAAAAACGGAGGCUGACAUACGUACUGUCUUUGAUACACCUGAUAGGGGAAAAAAAAUCCAGGCCAAAAAGAUUAACUUAAGGUGUUGGGUAAUUUAUCUCAGCAAUGAGAAAAAUAAGAAGAAUUUGGAAAGGUUUGGAGGUGCUAGUUGAAGAAGCAGCCCUAGAAUGCUGUAAAAUGAACUUGAUGGGAGAUUCUGGUCAGAGCUCAGAAGACCAGAAUGCUGACAGAAAUGUAACUGGUGAAGACCAGGCUCAGGAGGUUUCAGUUAGAAGCAAGGACUGCAUUGGCUAUUGGACUCCAGACCACAUGUGUUAUCCUUUGGCAGAAAAUGUGUCUGCUUUUUUUUUUUCUUGUUCAGAGAUGCUCCCUAUGACUGAGAUUAAGGGUGGUAGACUAAUUAAUCUGGUGGAAGAAAUUUCAAGACACUCUAAUGUUGAGGCAGUGCCAUGGCUACUGUUGGGGACUUUUAGCCAGACUUAUGUUGAAAAGCCAAAGCAAAG
ensembl:lncRNA